UUUGCAGGGCUCAUCCUACCAGGCGACUUAGGCGAUUAAGUCGCCCUGCCCGCGGCAACUUCGCUAUUUUCUAAGAUCAAAGCGAAGUCAACUUCGCCGACUUUUUCAAAGAUCAAAAAGUCGAUAUCGCUAAGAACUAAUGCUUGUCAAAACAGAGCGACUCCGCCUUCCGCCUGUCAGCUCGAUUGACAAACAGCCAAUCGUGUUAAACCUAGUAAAUAUGCUCCUUUGACUUCGACCAAUGAGAACGCUUGUUUUAUUCAAUCGAGGCACGUGUUUGCACCAUUGACUUUGUGUACAUGCGCUACGUCAUCGAUGUAAUAAAAUUGUAAGGGAUUAAUAUUUACACUUGCCGAUGUUUGUAAAAGUCAAUUUGGGCCAAUUAGGAUUUAUACUUUAUGACAAUAGCGGUUUAAAUGAUGUGCACUGAUGACAAAUGAAUUUAAUUGGGUGUGAUUACUGCGAAGUUAGCGAGAAGGGCAAGUGCGAAUCACAGUUCCAGUUGGUACAAACAAGAUGCAGAUAAAAAAUGGCACUGCGAAGUUUGUAGAUGUGCUAAGUUGGACAACGCCUAAGCCCUUGGACAUGACCAACCAGCAAAAACAACCAAUCAUCAGAGACAUGGCUUGUCAAAUCAGCACAAGGCCGCCUUGGAGAGACAGUUCUGCGUUCCCAGGAACCCAUGAGGAAAAUCGUACUGGCCAAACUGUCCAAGGAUGACAAGCUUGACCCCAAGCUCCUUAAGAAUGCCUACCACCUGGCUAAGCUGGAGCUCCCCAAGGAGGAAUUUCAGUACCACCUCCAGCUUGCCAGGGCCAUAGGUGCUGAUCUUGGCCAUCUCAUGAAUGGGCACUCACCCUCUUACAAAUCAAACAAGAGUGUAACUGAGUUACAAGAUGCCAUCAUGUAUCAUGUAUUUAAAUUCUGAUAUAUAUGUAUGUGUGCAUGAUAGGUUAACCGUUUGCAUGUAAUAAAAUGUUUGAAACUUGA